CCUACGGGACGCAGCAGUAGGGAAUCUUCCACAAUGGACGAAAGUCUGAUGGAGCAACGCCGCGUGAGUGAAGAAGGGUUUCGGCUCGUAAAGCUCUGUUGGUAGUGAAGAAAGAUAGAGGUAGUAACUGGCCUUUAUUUGACGGUAAUUACUUAGAAAGGCACGGCUAACUACGUGCCAGCAGCCGCGGUAAUACGGAGGGGGCAAGCGUUAUCCGGAUUCACUGGGCGUAAAGGGAGCGGAGGCGGCACGGCAAGGCUGGUGUGAAAACCCGGGGCCCCACCCCGGG
rnacentral:rRNA from 1 species